GAGGGUAUAGCUCAGCAGUAGAGCAUGUGCUUAGCAUGCAUGAGGUCCUGGGUUCAAUCCCCAGUACUGCUA
rnacentral:tRNA from 1 species